UGGGGAAUUUUGCGCAAUGGGGGAAACCCUGACGCAGCAACGCCGCGUGAGUGAUGAAGGCCUUCGGGUCGUAAAGCUCUGUCAGAGGGGAAGAAAUGCAGGAGCGCUAAUAUCGUUUUUGCUUGACGGUACCCUCAAAGGAAGCACCGGCUAACUCCGUGCCAGCAGCCGCGGUAAUACGGAGGGUGCGAGCGUUGUUCGGAAUAAUUGGGCGUAAAGCGCGUGUAGGCGGUCUUUUAAGUCUGAUGUGAAAGCCCCGGGCUCAACCUGGGAAGUGCAUUGGAAACUGGGAGACUUGAAUACGGGAGAGGGUAGUGGAAUUCCUAGUGUAGGAGUGAAAUCCGUAGAUAUUAGGAGGAACACCGGUGGCGAAGGCGGCUACCUGGACCGAUAUUGACGCUGAGACGCGAAAGCGUGGGGAGCAAACA
rnacentral:rRNA from 1 species